rnacentral:lncRNA from 1 species
AGAAAAACCCACUGGAAGUGAGCUACGCCUACGCUAUUUUUAAUAUAGCUUUUAUUUAAUUACUGUAACGUUAUUAGGAACUUAUAACAAUUAUUUAGGUUGUUAUUAUGAGUUAUAUAGCGUCGUUAUAAUAUCUUUUAACCACUCUCUGUACGGGGAAUGUUGUUUAAAGGGCCGCAUAGGAUUGUUGGAUUUUCGAAGUGCUAUAUGCCAAAAUGGUCCUGCCCUUCGGUGUUUUACGUCUGGCCCAUGUCUGUACAUAGUGGGUGAAGAGUAUUGUUUAACACCUAUAUAAUAGUAAUAAUAGCUAGACUAUUAAUUAGUCUCGUCAAACAUCAGACUAAACUCUAGUGGUAAUGAUACUAGGUUUUAUCUGAGGGAAAUUGUUUUAACAGUUUCGAAGUGUUGUCUGAGUGCCAAGUCACCACCUUAUCAAGUGAGNCGAAAGUUAUGAAUUUUUGAAAAUCGGUUGAUUUCCACCCUGUGUGCGAUGCCACGUGUCAUCACUAGGCUCUGACUUGGAGCCCAAGUUUGCUCACGAUGUGAGCUUCAUAAAAUUCACGACGUGAGUGACACUCCAUCCCCCUAUAAUAUAAGAGGUUAAGCCUCCAUUCUUCCUCACACCUCCCAUAACUUCCCUCUCUCUCUAGAACUUCUCUAUAGCCACAAAACCCCCCAAAAAGCCUAAGGAACCUCCCUAGCACGAGGCGGAAGCCCCGAGGUCCCCGAUAGCUCCGAGAAGAAGAGCCUUUCGGCUUGGGAACGCUGCUCCAACGGAGCCCGGUUUUGAGAAAAACCCACUGGAAGUGAGCUACGCCUACGCUAUUUUUAAUAUAGCUUUUAUUUAAUUACUGUAACGUUAUUAGGAACUUAUAACAAUUAUUUAGGUUGUUAUUAUGAGUUAUAUAGCGUCGUUAUAAUAUCUUUUAACCACUCUCUGUACGGGGAAUGUUGUUUAAAGGGCCGCAUAGGAUUGUUGGAUUUUCGAAGUGCUAUAUGCCAAAAUGGUCCUGCCCUUCGGUGUUUUACGUCUGGCCCAUGUCUGUACAUAGUGGGUGAAGAGUAUUGUUUAACACCUAUAUAAUAGUAAUAAUAGCUAGACUAUUAAUUAGUCUCGUCAAACAUCAGACUAAAC